rnacentral:rRNA from 1 species
UCGCAUCUGUGCAUGCAGCAUAUCAAUAAGCGGAGGAAAAGAAACUAACAAGGAUUCCCCUAGUAACGGCGAGUGAAGCGGGAAGAGCUCAAAUUUGAAAUCUUAAAGGGUUUCCCUUUACGAAUUGUAGUUUAAAGAAGUGUUUUCUGUUGAGGUUUUGGUAAAAGUUCUUUGGAAUAGGACAUCAUAGAGGGUGAGAAUCCCGUAUUUGACCUUUACUUUCAACUUUGUGAUACACUUUCAAAGAGUCGGAUUGUUUGGGAAUGCAGUCCAAAAUGGGUGGUAAAUUUCAUCUAAAGCUAAAUAUUGGCGAGAGACCGAUAGCGAACAAGUACCGUGAGGGAAUGAUGAAAAGAACUUUGAAAAGAGAGUUAAACAGUACGUGAAAUUGUCAAAAGGGAAGCGUUUGACACCAGUGUUGUUUUUCUGAAAAUCAAUUAAAGAACUGUUUAUGCUAAGUUGUUUAGACUUUAUCAGCUAACUGUUUAGUUUUGAGCCUUUUCUUUAAUGCACUUUUCAGUUAACAAGUCAACAUCAAUUUCUUUUGCUGUAAAAAAGCUUGAGGAAGGUGGCUUGAGAUUCGUCUUAAGUGUUUAUAGCCUCUUGCCUAUGCAGUCGGAGAGAUUGAGGUCUGCAGCGUAGAUCCUUCGGGGCUAAAUGCAUUUGUGCUAAGUUAUAGCAUUUUAUAGACAACUUGUUGACUAUGAUUUGUCUUGUAGCUUACUCGCUUAUGUUAUUUUACCUACGCUUAGGAUGUUGAGCGCAUGUCUCUCUCU